CUUGCUGUUCAGACUGCUGCCACGCUGGCUGGCUAGGUCACUCUGUUUAUACUUCCAGUGGUGAAAUUUGGGUGAUUUUAACAGCAUCAAGAAAGUGGCUACUAGCUUAAUAAGUUGCACUCUGGAAAAUUUCUUUGCUAAUGAAAAGCCUGCUGUGACCCAAGUUCUAUAGACUGGUGACCAUCCUGCUUGGAACUGUUAAAGAUCAUCACCUUGCCCCUAUGGAAGGCCUUACCCUCCCUGGGGAGCAGAAAGUUUAUAGGUGCCCUGCUCAGAGUCACCUGAGGCCUGGGAACUACUCACUCGGGCACCCAUCCAGGUGGUCCAGCCCAUCCAGAGACUGCCAGGGUCCUGAUUCCGUCUCCACCCAGUGGAAGAGGAGAACCAUCGGAGUAUUGGACCUACUCGCACCCACUGGAUGGGAACCUUGGACCCAUACCCAUCAGGAGAAACUCCACCUGUACCCACUGGAAGAAGGGCUGGAAAGAAGGCAACAUAAAAACACAUUCAACAAUAGAAAAAACAAUAAGACACCACCAGAGUCUAGGGACUCUACACCAGCAAGACCUGAUGAACAACACAGUGCAGAUGAAGCAGAAGACAAUGACCUUAAAAACAAUUUAAUGAAAAUGAUAGAGGUCCUCAAAGAGGAUAUGAGAAAAUCCAUUGAAGAAAUGGAAGAAAAUUGUAUAAGUUGAAUUGAGAAUUUAAUUUCUUAUUAUAUUAUCUUGACAAAAUCUUAAAUAAAUGUUAUAAAACAUCAGAUUUUAAUUUUUCUGAAAAUUGUACAUAUUUUAAUUUUAACCUUACAAAAUAUGCACAUAUAAUAAAUUAUAUCUAUUUAAUUACUAUGAUUUAAUGGUGGAUUUUAUCAUUUUAAUUAAUGUGGUG
rnacentral:lncRNA from 1 species